rnacentral:lncRNA from 1 species
CCAAACAGACAGCGGCUGCAAACACUUUCUUGUCUGUAUCUGCUGGAGUUCACGUUUCAGCUGUGCUCUCAGCUCCACCCACUCCUCACCACUGCAGAUAAAACAACAGCUCGGAUUGACAAGGAUUCUUCUCUUUGGUCAAAACAAGGGAAAAGAAUUGAAGAAUGACUUCUCAGAAAGGGUAUGGAAUCAUUAUCUUAACUUUGAUCAAUUGCUAGCAAAAACUUAUUUCCUAUUUUUCAGUCAUGGCACCUUUCUGAAAGUACAUGCAUUUUCCCCUAAGAAAAUACAAACAUAUAAACAUUUGAGAUCUGCAAAUAUUUAAAAAGAACUAGGAUAUUCCACAGUAGUGAUGAAAACAUACCUGAAAACUCCUGAGAGCAUUAAGCACCCAAUGAAUUUAGCCAGUGAUUCUGACAUUCUGCUGUAAAGUCAUCCCAUUGUGAGCUGAAGAUUAGAUAGCCCAGUCUGGGUUGUGUUUAUUUUGUUAUGUUGAAAAAGAUAUCUCAGUUGAUUAAAAUAUUUUUUAUAGAUUAAAGACAUUUUUGUCAUUUUUAAUGACUUACUACUAGUACUUUAUAAAAAGUAUUUGAGAUUAUGUUGACAUAUGCUUUAAAACAAGAAAAGCUUAAGUGGUAUUUAAUGGAUAACUUAUUACAAAGAAGGAAUUCUCUAGACUUACUUUACCUUUAAUUCACAUUGUUUGGAUGGAGCACUUUUUCACACGAUAAAGCACUAUGUGUACAGAUAGAAAGAGGUGAUUCGUGUGGCCAGAGAGCAAAUCAAAGUCACAUUACUGCAAACAGGAGAGGGCUCCAGUGCUAUUGUACAUUCAAGAGAGCUCAGAAAUGUUGAACUGCACCAUCAUCAUAUUCCAUGGAAACCACCCUUGGUCACCGAGGAGCUGGAUGGAGCCACACAGACAUCAGCGAUGUCACUGUUGUCUUCAUUCCAUCACAGCUGAAAUGUAUGGGCCAAAACUGGAAUCACAAUCUCAUUGAAUGAGGUACCUAUCUGGCUUUAGCUAUUUCUAGUCUAAAUUAAUAGGUGAAAAAGAAGUUCUUGGUGGGUCCCUCCUAUCAGAACUGUUUCUGUGCACUAAAAAACACUGUCGACAAAAAGUUGGGGAAAAAAGUCCAUAAUUCAGGUAAUUCUCAACAUGAGUUAGGAUCUCUUUUGCUUUUCAUCUGGCCCCAGCAUUCUUGUAUAUCAGGCUGCAUGAUGGCCUCAAAAUGUUCUACAUGGUGCAGCUAAAGCUAUAUUUUGUGAAGUGAUAGUUGUGAGUGCUAACUCCUCAGGUAUCCAUAGACUAUCUCCUAAGCUCAUGGGCAACGACACUAAUUUUGCUAUGGAAAUUCUCAAGAAGUGACUGUAUUCGUACUUUCUGUAUUGUGAGGGCCAGAGCUGUUUAUGAAUCUUCAUUUUUCAUUUCUUCUUGUAGGAAUAUAUUUUGAUGGCUGGAGUGCCAUCACAAUAUGAAUAUCUGCUGGUAUAAGGCCAUUCAGCAAUCAGUUCUCAGACUUCAUGGAUAUCUGUUACACCACUAUACUGACACUCUUUUUAACACAAGUCUCUGGAGCUGUUGAUUCCCCACUUUGAAACCUGCGAAAAUAAAUUUGCUUAACUGAUAGCA